GAGGAAUAUUGGUCAAUGGACGGAAGUCUGAACCAGCCAAGUAGCGUGCAGGAUGACGGCCCUAUGGGUUGUAAACUGCUUUUGUAUGGGGAUAAAGUUAGGGACGUGUCCCUAUUUGCAGGUACCAUACGAAUAAGGACCGGCUAAUUCCGUGCCAGCAGCCGCGGUAAUACGAAAGGUCCAGGCGUUAUCCGGAUUUAUUGGGUUUAAAGGGAGCGUAGGCUGGAGAUUAAGUGUGUUGUGAAAUGUAGACGCUCAACGUCUGAAUUGCAGCGCAUACUGGUUUCCUUGAGUACGCACAACGUUGGCGGAAUUCGUCGUGUAGCGGUGAAAUGCUUAGAUAUGACGAAGAACUCCGAUUGCGAAGGCAGCUGACGGGAGCGCAACUGACGCUUAAGCUCGAAGGUGCGGGUAUCAAACAGGAUUAGAUACCCUGGUAGUCCGCACAGUAAACGAUGGAUGCCCGCUGUUGGUACCUGGUAUCAGCGGCUAAGCGAAAGCAUUAAGCAUCCCACCUGGGGAGUACGCCGGCAACGGUG
rnacentral:rRNA from 1 species